AUACGGAGGGUCCAAGCGUUAUCCGGAUUCAUUGGGUUUAAAGGGUCCGCAGGCGGGAAAAUAAGUCAGUGGUGAAAGCCUACAGCUCAACUGUAGAACUGCCAUUGAUACUGUUUUUCUUGAGUAUAGAUGAAGUGGGCGGAAUAUAUCAUGUAGCGGUGAAAUGCAUAGAUAUGAUAUAGAACACCGAUUGCGAAGGCAGCUCACUAAACUAUUACUGACGCUCAGGGACGAAAGCGUGGGGAGCGAACAGGAUUAGAUACCCUAGUAGUCCC
rnacentral:rRNA from 1 species